UGCAGUCGUACGAUGAUGCCUAGCUUGCUGGGUGGAUUAGUGGCGAACGGGUGAGUAACACGUGAGUAACCUGCCCUUGACUCUGGGAUAAGCGCUGGAAACGGCGUCUAAUACCGGAUACGACCUGCCCCGGCAUCGGGUGCGGGUGGAAAGUUUUUCGGUCAAGGAUGGACUCGCGGCCUAUCAGGUAGUUGGUGAGGUAAUGGCUCACCAAGCCGACGACGGGUAGCCGGCCUGAGAGGGUGACCGGCCACACUGGGACUGAGACACGGCCCAGACUCCUACGGGAGGCAGCAGUGGGGAAUAUUGCACAAUGGGCGAAAGCCUGAUGCAGCAACGCCGCGUGGGGGAUGACGGCCUUCGGGUUGUAAACCUCUUUUAGUAGGGAAGAAGGGCUUCGGCUUGACGGUACCUGCAGAAAAAGCACCGGCUAACUACGUGCCAGCAGCCGCGGUAAUACGUAGGGUGCAAGCGUUGUCCGGAAUUAUUGGGCGUAAAGAGCUCGUAGGCGGUUUGUCGCGUCUGCUGUGAAAACCCGAGGCUCAACCUCGGGCCUGCAGUGGGUACGGGCAGACUAGAGUGCGGUAGGGGAGAAUGGAAUUCCUGGUGUAGCGGUGGAAUGCGCAGAUAUCAGGAGGAACACCGAUGGCGAAGGCAGUUCUCUGGGCCGUUACUGACGCUGAGGAGCGAAAGCGUGGGGAGCGAACAGGAUUAGAUACCCUGGUAGUCCACGCCGUAAACGUUGGGAACUAGAUGUGGGGACCUUUCCACGGUCUCCGUGUCGCAGCUAACGCAUUAAGUUCCCCGCCUGGGGAGUACGGCCGCAAGGCUAAAACUCAAAAGGAAUUGACGGGGGCCCGCACAAGCGGCGGAGCAUGCGGAUUAAUUCGAUGCAAC
rnacentral:rRNA from 1 species